rnacentral:rRNA from 1 species
AUUGAACGCUGGCGGCAGGCCUAACACAUGCAAGUCGAGCGAGCGGCGGACGGGUGAGUAAUGUAUGGGCAUCUGCCUGAUGGAGGGGGCUAACUACUGGAAACGGUAGCUAAUACCGCAUACCAUCAGAUGAACCCAUAUGGGAUUAGCUUGUCGGUGAGGUAACGGCUCACCUAGGCGACGAUCCCUAGCUGGCCUGAGAGGAUGAUCAGCCACACUGGGACUGAGACACGGCCCAGACUCCUACGGGAGGCAGCAGUGGGGAAUAUUGGACAAUGGGCGAAAGCCUGAUGCAGCAAUGCCGCGUGUAUGAAGAAGGCCUUCGGGUUGUAAAGUACUGUCAGUCGGGAGGCGGUACCGACAGAAGAAGCACCGGCUAACUCCGUGCCAGCAGCCGCGGUAAUUC